AUAUUAUUUUUUGCAUAAUUAAUGUUUUUUUAUGUCCGAAAAUUAAAAGGAGUGCCGUGCCCGCGAUUCCAUUGUGUCUCAGUUUUUUUUUUCAUUUGUUUUUUUGCGAGUGAAUUGUGCAUAAAAGGCGCCUCGUUUUGUCUCUUUCCCACUCCAGCAAGAAGAACAUAAAAAAGGAAUGAGCGCGCGUCUCUCUUUACAGUUUACACUGCUGUUCCAAAUAUUGGCAAUGCAUCUCUCUCUCUCUCUUUUGCCUUCGGAGCAAAAUAUGCGAGUGUGGUGGGAGUAUGCUCAAGAUAUUUUCUGCGCUUUUAUUGGAAUUUCCUGCUUAUUCCAAAACCAUUUGUAGUGCGUUUAUAAAUAUUAUAGAAAAAGGACAAGAGUGUGUAGUGCAUAUAUGUAUAAAUAAAUAAAUGUGUGCGGAAGUGUUCUUCGUAGACCGAAGUAGCGCUGCAAGGAGGUAGAAGAGAGUGGAGAAUUAUUGACUAAAAAGUCUGCUAUCACAAGAAAACACACACCACAAGCGGUCGAUAUGGCUUUAGCCAGGUGAGUCCUCAACUGUUUCAUACUGAGAGU